UGCGUAACUGACUGAGCCACCCAGGUGCCCCAAUAAUUUCCCAGUCUUGAAGUCUGUUGUGCCAAGUGACAUACCUAAUUAUGGAAGUAGCACCCAUCACAUACACAGGCAUUUCAGGCUGCCAAGUUCACACUGAGCUAUCUGAGAGGAUUUUUUUUGCAGAAGAGAAUAACGGGAACCCAAGACUGGGGCACUAGGGGAUAAAUGGAAGGCAUGAACUUGUGUAAAACCUUCGAGCACGAAGGACUCUAUUCUGGGGACUAAAGCUUCAUCCUGUUUUGUUUUGUUUUUUCCUGAAACAGAAACUGCGUUGAACUAUUGAACUGGGCAAAAGCAUAUGACUGAACACAGGACUGCUGCACCCACAUUCUUGAUAAAAAUUGGACACUCUGCAAAAAAUAUUUUCCUAGUAACUGUCACAAUGUACUCAGAUAAUUUUGUACAUUGUAAAAUGUAAUUAUGUCUUCCAGUCAGAAUUUUUGGAAGACAACCGGUGCAAAUUUCUGGAGACUUCUGCAGUUUGCUAAUAAAGACCCUGGGUGUUUACUGCUCCUCGACAGGAUGAAGUUUGGGUUGCUGCCUGAAUCUACGCUUCCCAAGUGGCGAUUCUAAGACCCCAGAUAAACUCUUUUGUCUUAUUUGGGUAACUUCCUGUUUUUUUAGCCAAGAAAGGGAAGGAAGAAAAUCGACAUUCUGCCUGUUAUCCCUCGACGUCUAUUGCAUGGGCCACCGAGUCACCUGCACCAUGUCAUGGGCUUCCUUUGCCAGGUUUGUGCCAUGUCCUCCUGUAAUAAAUAAGAAAGCUGAGGUGCAUUCAAAUCACUUACACACACCGGAGCAGAGAGAGAAGAAACCCUCACCCUUCUGACAGUUCUAAGUACUGGGGUGCUGCAUCGACGGCAAGAGCAAGGACAGCAAGAGGAAGAGAGGAGCAAGCAGAGCAAGAGGAAGCCUCUCACAGCCAGGUCCCCCUCCCCCACCUCCAGCCUCCCUUCUUGACAUUUUCCUACCAACUUGGCCAUCCCACCUCAGGGGGCAUGUAGCCUGGAUGCUGCGAUAAAACACCCUCUUUGCACCAAGGAAAUUGAGAGCAGGGGGUCAGGGGCUGGUUGCUCCUGGGUUUGAUUCCUAAUCACUUUUUAAAUCCCUCGUGCCUUGUGAAAUAAACGUGAUGGACUUUG